GAUGAACGCUAGCGGGAGGCUUAACACAUGCAAGUCGAGGGGCAUCACGAGGUAGCAAUACUUUGGUGGCGACCGGCGCACGGGUGAGUAACGCGUAUGCAACCUACCCUGUACAGGGGGAUAGCCCGGAGAAAUUCGGAUUAAUACCCCAUAAAGAUAUCGAGAGGCAUCUUUUGGUAUUUAAAGUUUCGACGGUACGGGAUGGGCAUGCGUAACAUUAGCUAGUUGGUAGGGUAACGGCCUACCAAGGCGACGAUGUUUAGGGGUCCUGAGAGGGUGAUCCCCCACACUGGUACUGAGACACGGACCAGACUCCUACGGGAGGCAG
rnacentral:rRNA from 1 species